UUGAACAUUAUAGUUUGGCAAAGUUGAACAUUAUAGUUUGGCAAAGUUGAACAUUAUAGUUUGGCAACGUGAACAUUAUAGUUUGGCAACGUGAACAUUAUAGUUUGGCAACGUGAACAUUAUAGUUUGGCAAACGUGAACAUUAUAGUUUGGCAAAGUUGAACAUUAUAGUUUGGCAAAGUUGAACAUUAUAGUUUGGCAACGUGAACAUUAUAGUUUUGCAGAGUUGAACAUUAUAGUUUGGCAAAGUUGAACAUUAUAGUUUGGCAAAGUUGAACAUUAUAGUUUGGCAAAGUUGAACAUUAUAGUUUGCCCACGUGAACAUUAUAGUUUAUCAAAGUGAACAUUAUAGUUUUGCAGAGUUUAAUAUUAUAGAUGCUCGUUUUAUAAAGUUACAAAAUAGAAAAUGUUUUAAAGUCCACUUACGAAUUUUUUUUUAACAGCCGGAUAAAUGCCUUAAAAUUCGCAUGCGACCAGCGCAACUAGCAUUUAGAACUACCCGGGUACACAAAACACUAAUUCAGAAUUUGAUUAUGCAUAAAUUAAACUGUCAAAGUACUUCUACUAAAACCCAACAAACCAUCCAGUAGAAAUUCUGAAGUGAGUCUUGAUGUUUUUGUCUUACAGGACGAGGAUUUGACCCUCAACUCAUCAUGGCCACAGUUCACACAGUGUUUUCAAUCCACGGUCCUAGUGUUCGUACCUGCGGGUGCCCUUGUGGUUGUGCGCGGCAUUGUACAUACCUUACCUGCUGACUCGUGACCCUGGCCUGCCUGGACCUAACACAUGCCUGUCAAGUGCCAAAACUUCCAUCUCGUUACUGAUGGUGGUGCUAACCAUCGCGCUCAUCAUCAGAGAAACCAUGAGCCCAUCCAGAUCUCUGCCUGGCACCCCUCCUGGGCAGAGAUACGACACUACCACCACGUCUCACUUUGUGGCGAGGAUUGUGGAAGCUAUAAGUUUUGUUUUAACUGGCAUCAUUACUCAACUUGAGAGAAGGAACUGCAUCUUAACUUCCGGUGUGCUCUUUGUUUAUUGGUUGAUACUUUUGGUGUGUGACAUCAUUCCACUCUAUACAUAUAUAGAAAUUGAGGUAAUACCCGUUUCAAUUCUUAUCUUAUAUAUUACAGACGAUACUUAAAAAAAAAGAUAAUUACGUCCUACGCAUUUCAUCUGUCAAUCUAGUUGUCACGUGUUUAUUUUAAGUUUGUUAGAUUUGAUGAUCUUGAUAAUAUAAACUUGUGACAUAUUAAGAUUCGGAGGUGCCUUAAUUAAAGUUCAAACACUUUAAUAAUCAAUGAAGUAACACAUUGUUGACAUGCUUUUCUAGAGUUUUAAUUAUUUUAAACUUGAAGCAAUAAAUGUAUGUACAAAGAUAUAUAAAGCAGAUACAGUUAUUACAGGAUACAGUAAAAAAUGAUUAAUAAAAUUGAGAAACUAAUUACUUUUAAAACUAGCGACUUCUAGUCUAACUUUCUAGC
rnacentral:sRNA from 1 species